GGGGGCGUCACGGCUUCGACGGAAAUGCUUGCGGCCAAGAGGCAUACCGGGGCGCAUUCCCCCGUAAGUGGUGCAAAAACAAUAAUUGCCAACUCUAAUCAGUUUGCAUACGCAGCUUAAUUAAAUAAGUUGCCGCUCUCCGCAGCUUCGCCUACGGGCUGCGAAAGGGCGUCACACAGUAGGCUGGCUUGGUGACCCUAUGUCCGGGGGCCUCCGGCGAGAACCACGGGCUAGCGGUUUGCGUUUCUUGUCCGUUCUAAGCGCAACACGCGAAUCUGGCGGGGUAAUUCCCGUUGGGUGAACUGGACUAAGUAUGUAGGCUCUUGACCAGUAACAUUUUCGGACGUGGGUUCAACUCCCACCGCCUCCACCA
rnacentral:tmRNA from 1 species